UUUCAACUUGAUUAUAUACCUGUAUUGACAGAAAGAACACUGGCUUUGGUGAAGGUAGAAUGUGAAUAUUAUUUUAUUAAUAUUAAUUAAUGGAGGGAGACUCUAGCAAGAACAGGUCUGAGAUCUGUCUGCUCUGAGACUAGUGUGCGCUCAUGGAGCAGUACUUGUGUAUUUUCUGUAUUAGGAAGUAUGGGAUUCUGCUGGUGGAGCUCUUGUGGAGGUGGAUAAGCCGACUGUUAGAUCUCUGCAGGAGGGAAUGAGGGGGCCGACAGUGUGCAAAGACUCGGGAAACCCUACAUUCUCCCUUGUGCUCGCAGGAGUUUUCUGUGUGGUUGCUGUAGGAGACUGGGAGAGAUGAAAGGAGAAGAGAGGAGACCCGGAGCUAUCUGGCUCUCCAGGUGCUGUGGAGGGCUAGGGACGCUGGGAUGAACAGCCGGUCUGCUCACCAGGACACCAGGAGCAGCACUCUGGGGGACCCCAGGCGAGAAAAGUGUUUUUACACCGGGAAUGUUUCUCCGCAAGUGCUGAGUACGUGUUUUCCGGGGCACUUAAAAGCCAUCUGCCCUGGAGGGCUGUAGCUUUUAAUAGUGCCUCUGGUGUGCAAGGCAUUCGAAGUUACAUCACAGGCAGGACACGUCCUGGAAUCUGAAGAUGCACUCAGUCACUCAGAAUUUGGCACGCGCUGUCUGUCUCCAGGUCUGCAUGGGGUGGGCCUCCUUCUGUGUGUGUGUGUGUGGUCCCAUAAGCGUUAAUGAUUGCACGGCAACCUCACCCACUCCACUCAUGGGAUCCCGCCACCUUCCUGGUGGAGAUGAACCUCAGUGGGGCGACUCGAGUAGCCCCAGGAGGAGGCAGCAGGAACUCAGAGUGCCCCACCCACAGCCCCACGAGCACAGGGGGCAACCUGUGAGCCCCGUACAGAGAGGCGCAAAAGGGUUUGGAUCAGCCACCUGGCUGCCCUCUGUGGUCACUGUCCUCAGUCGACUGAUCAGGGCCAAGGGGGAGUGAGCACGGUCAUCUAUACCCAUGAUCUCCCAGUGUUAAGGGCAGAUGUACGCUCAGAAGACUGGAGAUUUACACACAGAGCAGAAGAAUCACCUUCUUCGGGCAGUACAGGUGCCCCAGUGAAGUACGAGGAGGAAUAUCAGUUCUUUACAGCGACAAAUGCAAAAUUUUCUGUUAAAUCUUUGUGUCAUUGUGGUUAAUAUACAUGAGGAUAAUGUGGUUUGAGUCACCUUCAUUUUAAAUAAUUGAAUAUUACAGAAAAAAAAGAACUAAUCCGUAAAGCAGAUGUGCACUUACAGUUUUGUUAAAAAAAAACAUGAUAGGAGAGUUGAGAAAAAUCGGUCACUGAGACCGUUACAAUGCUGCUAAAUUUAAUUUGAGUUCUAUAGACACGGGUCUCACCUUCAUGUAGGAGAGCAUUAUUUUUUUUCUUCUGUUUUCCAUUUCAAUAUAGAGUCAAAGAUAAGAGUGAACAAGCUAGAAGGAUGCAUUUGUUUCAAAAUAUAAAAGACCGCAGAAAGAGCUCACAGAGAUGGGACCGUCACUAUUGUUACAAUUAUCAACACGCUGCUCAGGUGGAGACACCAUUAGGUGCACGUUUUUCAGUACGCUGUGUGAGAGGACAGUGUGUCUGCGUGGAACUUUACACAUUAAUCAUUCCAGUCACAGGUUACAGUAUCUACUCUUCUCACACACACACCCAGACACAGAAAAGUUUAUACUGUAUUACUGCAUAAGCCCAUCCAGUGUACCAGCACAGGCCAAUUGACAUACAAUAUACAAUACAUACAUUAAAACAACAACACAAAACAAGGCAAAAAAAAAACCCACAGGCUCACAUUAACACUCAUUUCGAUUAUCUACAAUAGCCAAAUGCUGUUCAAGAGCAGCCUCUGAUCUGUGUGUGCUGUGAGUGCGGCCUCUAGUGGCCACCCCAUUGUCAUGACACUCCUGAGUCCACUUCCACGCUUCACUACAGCCCCCAAUUAAGAACCACCAAUUACUGUCUCAGCCCUGCCCCCUUUCAAACUGUACCAAAACGGGCAGGGGGAGGGGUGGUGGCGGCCCUGGCAGUGCUCAGCAAGCCGUGACUUGAACCCCGGACGUCUGAAGGCAAAAGGCACUGAGAUUCUCAAACCGUGUGGAAUAACAGGACCUAUGUCGCUCCUAUAGAGGAGGAGGUAGACAGGCCAGACCUGCUUUGUCUGUGAAUGAAGGACAGUAAUUGGAAGAUUUUCUUAGUCGCCUGUGUGCCGAGAUGGAGAAGGCUCUGCUGUGGUCCCACCUUGUCAGGCAGGAACAUGGUGAUGGUCACAGACCCUGAGGUCCGCAGCGCUUGAGGUAGCAGGAUACAAACUUUCAGGGUUAGUCAUAACGUACCAAGAUGUGAGGCAUGUAAAUUACCCUGCUAGUGUAUUAAUAUUUAACACAGGUUAUGAGACAGAGCAAAGAUUUGACCCCCAGAGCUAUUCCACACAGUGCAUGAAUAACUAAUGCUCCUGAUUAUGUUAAUGAUCGCUACUGAGGAACGGCGAUGACCAGCGAGAUUCAGUGGCGCUGAUAGUGAACCCCUAAUAACACCAGAUUUGAAAAAAAUCUACAAAUCUGUCCUAAGCCUUCAUUUAUUUCAGAGAUAUUCACUGGGAAAAUGUCUUUAAGUGUGCAUAAGUGGUUGCGCGUGAGGCUUGUGGUACAGUAGCUCUGACCUGAUCCAAGCCCAGCUGUGAUGCAGUACAAACCCAUUUACGUUCUGCCAGAACGCUGGCCUUGCUCCAAAAAAAUAAAUGAUGUUGUAUGUUCGGGGAGACUGAUAAGAUGCCCAGUGAUGAACAUUUUCUCUCAUGGUCAUGGUUUUAGCCUGCAUUGGAGAGAAAAAUACUCAAAAAUAAAAUUGAUGUUAAGAGGACUGUGAGAAAAGACUAAUUGUGCCGAUGUGGCUUGUACAAGCUCUUGAGACCUGCUCUUCGAAAGCAAGGCUCCUCAAGGUCAGCGCUUCAUACAGCCUUAUCAACAUUACUGAUAUUGUCAAAAAUGGAGAUUCAGAGCAUCUGACACCAGCAGCUUUUAAUUCCUUCUCGGAGAUGCAGCCUUAUAAAGUUGGAACGAAUCUGACAGAAGAAAAACCUCAGCCGUAAGAAUUAACUUGGAAGAGCCUGGAUUUUAAAAGCUCGCGGUUGCAUUACUGAGGAGGUAAAUGUUUUCUUUUUAUCCUUUGAUAAAAGCAGGCAGGGAAGGCUAUCUUGGUGCAUGGAACAGUGAGAUAGGUUGAGCCUGCCUAUGUAUUCUGUACCCAUCAUCAAAGUUCCCUGCCCUCUUCCAUAAAGAAUUCCAACGAGACAAUUUUGCGCACAUUGAGAGAGCUGACAGGGAGUGUUAUUAAAGCGCUGGGUGCUGACCGCUCUCAAAGUUAUUAAAGUGCUGCGAGAUUGUGUCUGUGAUAGCCAGGCAGCGCAGAUGUCCUUCACACACAGGUACAUUACUGCAGGGACACGGCCGGGGGAGAGAGAGGGGAGUGCGACAGGGCCAGGCCAGGAGAAUGCAGGCAGUUCAUUCACUGUCGGGGAAAAUCAGGAUCAUUGCUCCUGUUCCAUUUCUCAUUACUCUCAUUAUCGUUGCUGGUGUGUUUAUUUCCAAGACAAAAAUAAGAAACAGCCCAAUUCUGUCUCUGAAUAAAACCGGCUCCCUUCUUAAACAGUCCUACUGUGCGGUGAAUUAAAGACUGAUCUGAUCUCUCUUCUGUGUAAUUGCAUGAGUUGGGUCACGUGUGUGUUAACAUCAUGUGUGCUAACUGCAUCUGAAGUGGUGUGUGCAUGCUAUUCAUUAACAUAUAUUGCAUUAUUACCCAUGCUCAUUAG
rnacentral:lncRNA from 1 species